GCUGCAGAAGAAGCACCGGCUAACUCCCGUGCCAGCAGCCGCGGUAAUACGGAGGGUGCGAGCGUUAAUCGGAAUUACUGGGCGUAAAGCGCAUGCAGGUGGUUUUGUUUAAGUCAGAUGUGAAAGCCCCGGGGCUCAACCUCGGAAUUGCAUUUUGAAACUGGCAGACUAGAGUACUGUAGAGGGGGGUAGAAUUUCAGGUGUAGCGGUGAAAAUGCGUAGAGAUCUGAAGGAAUACCGGUGGCGAAGGCGGCCCCCCUGGACAGAUACUGACACUCAGAUGCGAAAAGCGUGGGGAGCAAACAGGAUUAGAUACCCUGGUAG
rnacentral:rRNA from 1 species